GCCUAACACAUGCAAGUCGAGCGGCAGCGAGACUUGUAGCAAUACUAAGUGAUGGCGAGCGGCGGACGGGUGAGGAACACGUAGGAACCUGCCCAAGAGAGGGGGACAACCAAUGGAAACGUUGGCUAAUACCGCAUAAUCUCUUAGGAGAAAAGUUGCCCGUAAGGGUAGCGCUUUUGGAGGGGCCUGCGUCCGAUUAGCUAGCUGGUGAGGUAAUGGCUCACCAAGGCUGUAAUCGGUAACUGGUCUGAGAGGACGACCAGUCACACUGGGACUGAGACACGGCCCAGACUCCUACGGGAGGCAGCAGUGGGGAAUCUUGGACAAUGGGGGCAACCCUGAUCCAGCGAUGCCGCGUGGGUGAAGAAGGCCUUCGGGUUGUAAAGCCCUUUAGGCUGGGACGAAGGAUGUGGGACGAAUAAUCCUGCAUUUUGACGGUACCAGCAGAAUAAGCACCGGCAAACUCUGUGCCAGCCGCCGCCGUAAAAC
rnacentral:rRNA from 1 species